rnacentral:rRNA from 1 species
UACAGCGGUCUCAAGCGUUGUUCGGAUUCAUUGGGCGUAAAGGGCGCGUAGGCGGCGGGGUAAGUCUGGUGUGAAAUCUCGGAGCUCAACUCCGAAAUUGCACUGGAUACUGCUCUGCUUGAGGGUUGGAGAGGAGAUCGGAAUUCACGGUGUAGCAGUGAAAUGCGUAGAUAUCGUGAGGAAGACCAGUGGCGAAGGCGGAUCUCUGGACAAAUCCUGACGCUGAGGCGCGAAGGCUAGGGGAGCAAACGGG